AUUGAACGCUGGCGGCAGGCCUAACACAUGUAAGUCGAACGAGUGGCGGACGGGUGAGUAAUGUAUGGGAAACUGCCUGAUGGAGGGGGAUAAGUACUGGAAACGGUAGCUAAUACCGCAUACCAUCGGAUGUGCCCAGAUGGGAUUAGCUAGUAGGGGGGGUAAAGGCUUACCUAGGCGACGAUCCCUAGCUGGUCUGAGAGGAUGACCAGCCACACUGGAACUGAGACACGGUCCAGACUCCUACGGGAGGCAGCAGUGGGGAAUAUUGCACAAUGGGCGAAAGCCUGAUGCAGCCAUGCCGCGUGUGUGAAGAAGGUCUUCGGGUUGUAAAGCACUUUCAGCGGGGAGGCGUUACCCGCAGAAGAAGCACCGGCUAACUCCGUGCCAGCCGCCGCGGUAAUAC
rnacentral:rRNA from 1 species